GAUGAAGAACGUAGCGAAAUGCGAUAAGUAGUGUGAAUUGCAGAAUUCAGUGAAUCAUCGAAUCUUUGAACGCACAUUGCGCCCCUUGGUAUCCCGAGGGGCAUGCCUGUUCGAGCGUCAUUUCACCACUCAAGCCUGGCUUGGUGUUGGGCGACGUCCCCUUUGGGGACGCGCCUCGAAACGCUCGGCGGCGUGGCACCGGCUUUAAGCGUAGCAGAAUCUUUCGCUUUGGAAGUCGGGGCCCCGUCUGCCGGAAGACCUACUCGCAAGGUUGACUUCGGAUCAGGCAGGGAUACCCGCUGAACUUAAGCAUAUCAAUAAGCGGAGGA
rnacentral:misc_RNA from 1 species